AAUGUGGAAUUUCAAUUGGUAAAUUUGCCACUAGUAAUGCUGUGCUGGAGGGCUUCAGUGAAGCAGAAAGCAACAGAAAAUGUGGAAAGACUAUUUGACUAUUGAGUGCAGAUGAGCUUGACUGAAAAAUUAAUUUUUAUUUGCAUCUGUAUAAUUUUUUUCAUCCCAUCUCUGAAAGAGAAUGGGGGAGCAGGAGAAGGGGUGGUGGGGAAGAGGAUCCAGAUACAUAAAUAUUCCUCCUUUGAUGAUCAAAAUCUAUGUCUGAAUCCAAGAACUAGGACUUGGACCCUUUUUAUGGGUAACAUAUUGCAGAUAAAUUCAACACAACAGAAUUUCUACGCAGACAAUCACAUUCAAUAAGGCUAUGCAGCUCUGGGUCCUAAUGAGCAUACACUGGUGAUUACCAAAUAAACAGUUAGGAAUUCUUGCCAUAUGGAAAGUUAUCUUCAGUGUUUACAAUGACUUCACCCAGCUGUCACUGCAAAGUGGCCAGCAGUAGAAUUACUCUCUUUUCAAUCUGUCAGGAAACUUCAAAGACAAGAUACCAUCAACAUGGAUUGUUGUUUUUCAGUAUUACACCCCUUACAGUGAAAGUGAAGAACCUGGAGCACAGAUGACCUGCUGCAACCAUUAUCUAUAUCCAGCCCUGGCCCUCCAGUGCCCCUGCUUGCUUGAAGAAGAUUGGUGCUGUCAGAGUACAAAGGGGUAUUGAAAGAAGGCAACUUUCCACAGAAUUUGCCUUCUUGAAAGACAGAACAAAGCUGCUAUAGACACACCUAGACUCCUGUCCUAUUCCCUGGAAUUGGAAUAUGUCAAGA